CCUACGGGGGGCAGCAGUGGGGAAUAUUGCACAAUGGGGGAAACCCUGAUGCAGCGACGCCGCGUGAGUGAAGAAGUAAUUCGUUAUGUAAAGCUCUAUCAGCAGGGAAGAAAAUGACGGUGACUGAGUAAGAAGCCCCGGCUAACUCCGUGCCAGCAGCCGCGGUAAUACGUCGGGGGCAAGCGUGCUCCGGAGUUACUGGGGGGAAAGGGAGCGUAGACGGCAGUGCAAGUCUGGAGUGAAAGGCGGGGGCUCAACCCCCGGAGUGCUCUGGAAACUGUACGGCUGGAGGGCAGGAGAGGUAAGUGGAAUUCCUAGUGGAGCGGUGAAAUGCGUAGAUAUAAGGAGGAACACCAGUGGCGAAGGCGGCUUUCUGGCCUGUAACUGACGUUGAGUCUCGAAAGCGUGGGGAGCAAACAGGAUUAGAGACCCGGGUAGUC
rnacentral:rRNA from 1 species